CGGUGGCUACGGCUUCGUCUCGACGAGAGGAACACGAUGGUGGCUCUGCAUGCGCGAGAUUCUCAACGGUUAAGAAGAUAUGGCCGAUAUACUGAACGGACGAAAACAAAGCUUAAGAGGCGGCGGUUUCCGACGAUUCUCAGCUGAGGUUGAUGGUGAUGACGAGCUUGACGAUGUCCUGGCGUGCGGUGGCUCCGGCGAGGACUCCUGGUGGCAGCAUGCAGUGGUUCCUAUCUUUUUUCUUUCACUCUCUCUCUUUUUCACUUCUUCUUCUCUCUAACUUUUCUGAUUUCUUUUUUUUGAUGCAGGUGGAGAAAACAAUGUGAAGAUGGGGUAUUUAUAAACAAACAUUUUAGUUUUGAUGUAUUGCUUGGGCCUUAGCCGGCUAACGAGUUCCGAGAUCGAAAUUCGGAUCGUUACAAUUCUCCCCCACUUAUAAGGAAUUCGUCCCCGAAUUCAAGUCAUAAUCUGACAUGUCCAAUGUCAUCGUAACAAAACCUCGAAUAAUAAUCCUUGCUCGGCUCAGGUCUCCUCUUGAAUCCUAUUCCUCCCAACGAACCUUGACCAACAUGGUCACUAGAUACAUGGUCACCACUCCCUAGACUGAUUUCACUUGCUGACCAAUAAAGAGAUAUGUUCCCAUAUAUUUUGGUUAAGCUUCUUUAGAUUCCGAGUCUUUGAUUCUUUUUGAAACAUCCUCCUUCAGAUUUAUUAGGUCGCCAACUUCAAAAUCCAAAUCCUUACGGCGCUUAUCCACGUAACUCUUCUGACGGUCAUGGGCUUCCUAACCUAAGCUUCGAGCAUUUCCAUUUGCUCUACCGUCUCUUGAAUCAUUGCUGAUUCCAUCUCACGUCUCUCCCCCACUUUGGUCCAACAAAGUGGUGUACGACUAGACCCACCAUAAAAACCUCGACGAUACUAUCAUAAUACUCAAAUGAUAACAUGUAUAUCGCGAUGAAUCUUGAUCGUUCCCAUGCUCUCCAUAACAACAAUCUGAAUUUGCUUAUAUUUCGGUUAGAAGAUCCCCCAAAAAAAACUAAAACUUAACCAAACGCGAACUCACAAAACUAUGAAAAACUCUUAAGUCAAAUAAGGUGUGAGGUAACUCACACCAACCACAACCAAUCAUACACGACAUUCACUAAUCUCGAACUAUACAAGAUAACCACAAAACCACAAAUAUUAACACAAGCAAGUAUGUUAAGAACACAUACCCGCUAUCGGCUCAGCUCCAUGGGGAUCUCCAACCGCAAACGCACAUGGAGCGAUGGCUAGACGCUUCGGUGGUGGUGGAAGUGCCGCAUUUCCCCUCCUCGGGCAAUCUCUGAUGAAGUGACCUGGCUGACCACAGCCAAAGCAGACAUGUGCCGCUGCUGGUGCUGCUGGUGCUGCAAUCUGUCUGACUGGUGGCGCAACCUGAGCAUCAAAUAGCCUACUCCGACAAACCCUACUCUUAUGUCCCAUCUUUCCACAGUAAAAGCACUGUAUGCUCGGUUUGUCCCAUGUCCUCUGCUGUGCCUCUGAAGUCCCUCCAAACUUAGGCUGAACUGCCUUGGAGUACUUCUGCUCCUCUGCCAAACCUGCCUCCUGCUCGGCAGCCUUCUCCACCAAAUCUCCCAAUCUGUGAUAAGUGACGACACGGCACCUGUUGCGAAUCUCCACUCGCAUCCCAUUCAAAAAUUUUCUCAUCAGGUCUUCCUCUAAAAUGCCCUCUCUAGCAAAUCUGCGAAGUUGGUUAAACACAACCUCAUACUCCCUGAUAGACAUCUCACCCUGGCUUACAUGCUCGAACUCGCAUUUCUUCCUAUCCAUAGCUUCCUUCGGAAAGUAUUUCCUAUCGAACUCUCGGAUGAAGUCUGCGAAGGUAAGCCUCUCUGGCCCAAGGUGACUCAAUCGUAUUCCCUCCCACCAUAUAAGAGCAUCUCCACGAAGGUACUGCAUAGUCAAUCUGAGCGACAACUCUGGUGGACACUCAAUAAUCUCCAGCUUCCGCUGCAAGGCUAACUUCCAAUCAUGUGCAGCUACAGCAUCCACUGUCCCACUAAAAUGCUCCAUAUCCAUGUUCCUCAUCUGACGCGUCAGCCUGUAGAACCUCUCAUCAUAAACCGGGUAAACAUGAGGUCGCGGUGGUGGUGGUGGUAGAUCCUGAACACCAUGAGCAAACUGCUGAGCUGGUCCGUGCUGCAGUGGAACCUGAGGAAGGGGAACCUGCUGAACGGGAUCCUGAUGAUCAUGCUGAGCGGGAAUCUGCUGAUCCUGCUGGACCUGAACCGGUGGAACUUGCUGAACCUGAAUCUGUGGACCCUGCUGCACCUGAACCUGAGGAGCCUGCUGAACUGCAGCCAUCUGACGAGCAACCUCCUGAGCAGCUACUCGGGCAGCCUCCUGAGCGGCCUGCCUGGCUGCCUCCUGGGCAAUCUGCUGAAGUGCCUCCUGAGCGGCCUGUCUAGCGGCAUCCUGAACCAUCUGUCUCAAUGCAUCCUGAUCAACUGGUGGAGCCGCGGGUGGCGGAACUGCGGGCUGCUCAUGCUCAUCUAAAUCGUCUCUAACAGCUCUGGCGGUCUGGGCACGAGUGGUUCUUCUCCUUGGCGGCAUCUGAAAGGAAAGCGAAAAGUCAACAUACGCUGAACUUUUGAUACCAACAUUUAAGGAGAAGUGAUAUCGAACGGAAAUGUGCUAUUUAUUUUCAUUUUCAAAAUCCCCAAAUCCCCGAAAAUAUUUUGAAAUCGUCUAAAACCGUCAAAACCGAAUAAAACCGAAUAAAACCGAAUAAAACCAGGUCUCCAAAAAUCGCCAUCCCGGGUCGGAGCCGGGACAGAACCCCGCUCUGAUACCAAAACUGUGACAUCCGUCACUUUCGAAAUAAUAAAAACAAUUCAAUAAAUAAUAGUUUAUGAAAUCUUCAUUUAUAAAUAUAAAAGUCAACGUCCACGCUGUAAAUCCAUAAUAUAAAAUAACAUCCGAAAUAUAGAUAACGGUAUAAGUCCGAAAUAUAAAGACAACAUAAAUCCGUAAGUCUGAAAUAGGAAAUAACAUAAACGAUAAAAGCCAAAGGCCUAAAAGCCCGAUAACGAUAAAAGCGAUAGAAGCCCAAAAGUCCAAUAGCACCGGUCCGAUAAUCACUCCUGCUCGUCGGUCUCACCUGAAAGGGGGAAAGAAGGAGGGGUGAGCAACAGGGGAGUUGCCCAGCGAGGUAUGGGAUGCUAAACCGCAAACCACAGACUGAGUUCAUAGCACUACUAAAAUGUAGGCAUAGCUCUAGCAUGAAACAAACACGGUGCCUAUUACACCACACAUAACAAUCAAUAUUCGGCUAGAGGACUAGCCGUUACAACUCAUGCGCUUAUAGUACAUAGCUACUCUAUGCACCACGCAUCUCCUCAUAAGGAUAUAUACAUAUACUCGAAGCGUCGCUAGUACAGUCUGUCUUUGUACCCCCGCCCAUCGUAGCGUCAAAUGCAAACGUCUCUGCACCACGCCCCAAACAGUAGCGUCGAAGCUCAAACGUCUCUGAACUCACGCCCAUACCAUACCGUAGUGUCGAAGCUCAGACAUCUCUGAACUCACGCCCUCAUCACAUAAUCCCUACUCAUAACUAUGUAUAUACAUAUAUAUAGCAGUUUUUAGCAUCAAUCAUUUCACACAAUCGUUGAAUCCUCUAUUAUCCUAAUUCCGGUUAACAAUAAAUAUCAAUAAUGAACAAGCAAGACUCUCAAACAGACUCGAUUCACAGAGACGGAUCAUGUUUCGAAACUAAACUUUCCAUAAUGGUAGUACUAAACUAGCUCGGGGUUUAACGGAGUAGCCCUCACCUUAGUAAUAGGGAAAUGUGGUAUCUAUGAACUCCAGAUGCUCAAAUAGACUCCAAAUCUGAAAUCAGGGCGAAAAAUCGAGUGAGAACGCCUUUCGAACGGUUUAAAACGGGUCUGGUUAAGGUUUAUGGAAAAGUCAAUUCGAUGGUCAAAGGUCAAUCCGGUCAACCCUUGACCAGAAAUCAAUUUGUCCUAACCGACCGGUUUACCCUAACCGAAACGAAAUUAAUUUAAACCGGUCAAACCAGUCAAACCAGCGGUUAACCGAGUCAACCGAGUUGACUCACCGGGUCGACUCAGCCGAGUUGGCGAGUCGUCGGCGAGUCACCGGCGACGGUCACCGACGGCGACGGCGAUGGCUUACCGGUGGUGACGGCGGACGACGGCGGCGACAGAAGGCGGAGCACGGCGACAGCGACGGCGUUCCGGUAGUGGUGAGGCGGUGGUCUGGCGGCGGAGACGAUUUCCGGCAGCGGCGCGUAUAACUCACGCGCGCACAGAGGCGAAGCUUCCGGAGGCUCUAGCGGCUUCGUCCGGACUCCGAUUGCGGCGUGGUCGGUGGCUACGGCUUUGUCUCGACGAGAGGAACACGAUGGUGGCUCUUCAUGCGCGAGAUUCUCAACGGUUAAGAAGAUAUGGCCGAUAUACUGAACGGACGAAAACAAAGCUUAAGAGGCGGCGGUUUCCGACGAUUCUCAGCUGAGGUUGAUGGUGAUGACGAGCUUGACGAUGUCCUGGCGUGCGGUGGCUCCGGCGAGGACUCCUGGUGGCAGCAUGCAGUGGUUCCUAUCUUUUUUUCUUUCACUCUCUCUCUUUUUCACUUCUUCUUCUCUCUAACUUUUCUGAUUUCU
rnacentral:lncRNA from 1 species